rnacentral:rRNA from 1 species
GUGUCAGCAGCCGCGGUAAUACAGAGGGUGCAAGCGUUAAUCGGAGUUACUGGGCAUAAAGGGCGCGUAGGCGGUUGAUUAAGUGAGAUGUGAAAGCCCUGGGCUUAACCUAGGAACUGCAUCUUAUACUGGUCAACUGGAGUACUGUAAAGGGUAGUGGAAUUUCCGGUGUAGCGGUGAAAUGCGUAGAGAUCGGAAGGAACACCAGUGGCGAAGGCGGCUACCUGGACAGAUACUGACGCUGAGGCGCGAGAGCGUGGGGAGCAAACAGGAUUAGAAACCCCAGUAGUCC